rnacentral:rRNA from 1 species
UACGUAGGGUGCGAGCGUUAAUCGGAAUUACUGGGCGUAAAGCGUGCGCAGGCGGUUUGAUAAGACAGGCGUGAAAUCCCCGGGCUUAACCUGGGAACUGCGCUUGUGACUGUCUCACUAGAGUACGGCAGAGGGGGGUGGAAUUCCACGUGUAGCAGUGAAAUGCGUAGAGAUGUGGAGGAACACCGAUGGCGAAGGCAGCCCCCUGGGCCGAUACUGACGCUCAUGCACGAAAGCGUGGGGAG